GUAGUUGAAGCUUAUGGUUACGGUGGCCCUGAUUUAGCUACAGCCUUUCAAAGUUGGUAGUUCUGUGUCACACAGAGUCUACCCUUAAAUAAACAACUGCACUUCACUCCCAAUUAAUUCACGGUAGCAUUAUUAAUUCUAUUACGUAGUCUAUAGUGCUUUUGUACCACUGCCUCCUCCUACAUGUAUUAACCUCUGUACCCACUUUUUGCUCCUAUUAAUUUUCUCAAGAAAGUUUGUUUGUGCUCUGAAACAGCUUCAAAAUGCUAGGUACAUUGUAGCUAUCAACUUCAAUUUCAACUCACUAUAAUUAUGUACUGUCAUGGUACAUUGCACAUCGGGGAGGGGGCGAUGUUCUGUAAAGUGAAACAAUGUGCUUGAUAACUCAUGCAUGCAGUUAGUGGUUUAACUGUGUGUGUUUAUGCUGACUAGCGAUUGCAACAGUAUAAUUAUAAGGAACUACUCAUUUCUAUAUUUUACAUUUGUACAGUGCAUGUACAUUGAUAUCAAAGGGUGAUAUUGAAAGCACGUUGGGAUGUACCGUAUAGCGGGAAAUGUUCGUGGGUAAGAGAGGCCUUGGAUCGAGGCUAAUCUGUGGUAUGAUCCAGUUAAAAUGUGCUAAGCCUAUAAAAUAUGUCCUACACUGUAUUUGUGCUGUUUAGUUUUUUAGGGGUGACCGUGCAACAGUACAAUUGAACAUACAUGACUGUGUUCAGAAUAGUUCAUUGUGAAACAACGAAGAAACUAAAGAGCACCUCAGAAUGUCAAUCUACGUAUAGUGCUUGCACUUGACUGUGGUUAGGUCAAUGUGAAUUUACGCACAAUCGAGUUUGUGAUUGUCUUCAAAAUACAUGUGAACGUAAAUAAACGUUUAUAUGAUGUGUGAACAAUCUAGAUCUAUGAAUAUUGUUGCUCAUAUUUGACAUAAUUAUGGUGAACCCACCCAUUCUGUUCUGAAUGUCAUCAACAAAGAACUAUAUUGCCCAGUAAAAAACCUUCGAUAAAUUCUCAAAGCCAUGGCCGAGAGAGUGACGACAAAAGAAUCUCUCAAGAAACUCGAUGCUCAACUCGAAUGCUCCCUUUGUCUCGACACUUUCAAGCAGCCGAAACUCUUACCUUGUUUUCAUGUGUUUUGCAAGUCCCCGUGUCUGGAGAAACUAGUGACCAACGAUGGACGCUCCCUCACUUGUCCCACUUGUCGACACAUUGUCCCACUGUCAGAGAGGGGAGUGGCUGGACUGCGAUCAGACUUCCACAUCGACCACUUGUUUGAGAUACAAGAUGCUUUCAACAAAGCUGAAGACGAUAAUGAUACAAACUGUGGCAGCUGUGAGGAUGGUAAAGCCACUGGAUACUGUAACGACUGUGGGGACUUUUUAUGUGACGAAUGUCAAACUGCUCACAAGAGACUCAAAUACACGAGGAAUCAUAAACUAAUUUCGCUGGAUGAACUCAAAGCUCAAGUGACUAGCCUGGUUCCCCCCAAGAAAGCCGUCCCCCAUUGCUCCAAACACUCGGAGAAUGCCCUCAAGAUAUACUGUGAUACUUGCUCCACUCUCAUUUGCAUGGACUGCACCAUUCGUCUCCACAAAGACCACAACUACGACCUGGUGGCUGAUGUGCUGACCAAGCACAAAGAAGAACUUGUCUCCAGUCUCAAACCAGUCAAAGAGAAGCUGGACAGUGUACAACGAGCUCUGAAGGACUUUGACACAAGAGCCAAGGCAAUCCACGAUCAGAAGGCCGCAAUUGAAGCCAACAUCCACAAGGAAAUUGACGAACAACAUCGACUGUUAGAUCAACGAAGGGCAGAGCUUGUAGGAGAGCUAGAGAUGCUGACUCAACAGAAACUGAAGGAUCUGGCGGCACAAAGGGACCAAGUGGAGAUCACUCAGGUGAAACUGACCAGCUGUCUGGAGUACGCUGAGGGGGUCUCAAAACAGGCGAAAACUUCCGUUCUCAAGAGAGUCAAACAAAUUUCUGCUGAAUUCGAUCGAAACACAAUUCAGCCAGAAACAAAGGCUGACAUAGAACUGAUCACAAAAGGAAAAGAACCUCUCCAACAAGCUUGCCGAAGUUUCUUAGAGGUUGAUCACAGUGGAUCAUUUAGCUUAGAGAACAGCCACACGACAGGAGAUGGUCUGAAAGGUGCUACAACUGGAGAAACAAAAACUGUAUCGUUUCGAGCAAAAACCAAGAGUAACAGAAAUGUCAAACGCAAACUCGACCUCAAAGCUGAACUCGUGCGUUUGGAGAGCAAAGAUAUAUUGAAAUGUGAAGUGAUCGAUCAACAACAUGGCCAACACAAGAUCAACUAUCGCCCAUUGAACCGAGGAAAGCAUGAACUACACAUCACUGUCAAUGAGGACGCAGUACGAGGCAGUCCAUUCCCAAUAGCUGUAGCCCCAUCACCACAGAGCUUCGUCAAGCCUUCCCGAGUUGUACGAGGUGUGAACAAACCACGAGGCACUGUCUUCAACAGUAAGGGACAGUUGGUUGUUGUUGAAGGUAGUGGAGCUACUGUCUCUGUAUUGACACCAGAGGGUCAGAAGAUACAAACGUUUGGACAGCUGAAUAAUGCAUUUGGAGUGACUGUGGACAAAGACGACAACAUCUAUGUAGUGGAGUGUGGCAAUCAUCGUGUGAAUAAGUUCUCAUCCGACGGAGAGUUUGUGGCAGCUGUUGGUAGUCAAGGCAGCGGUAACCUUCAGUUUAGUAGCCCAUUUGAUAUUUGUUAUAACAGAAGAGACAACAACUUGUAUAUGCCUGAUCAGGGUAACCACAGAAUACAAGUGCUUUCCACUGAUCUGAAGUUCGUACGAUGUUUCGGUACACCUGGCAAUGGGAACGGACAAUUACAGCAACCACUAUAUGCAACAUUUGAUAGUGCCAACAACCUCUAUGUGACUGAUCGUGGUAACCAUCGAGUACAAGUCUUCACUGCUGAAGGUCAUUUCCUGAGAACCUUCUCACAAAAAGCCAAAGGUAAAAAGCUGAACUCACUCUGGGCCAUAGCCAUCGAUAGCAAUGACACAGUGUACGUCAGUGAGAAUGGACCGCAUCAUGUGAGUGUGUUCAUAUCUCAGGGAGCCUACAUCACCACGUUUGGUGGACCAGGAACGAAAGAGGGACAGUUUAAUGGCAUUUACGGACUCUCUAUUAAUCGCAAUGACUCAGUUGUUGUGUCCGAUCUGAACAAUGGGCGACUGCAGAUAUUCUAGGAACUUUAGAGUGUCAGGCUCUCGUACGAUAUUUGUGCUCACCAAAGUUGACCUGGCGGAGAAGGGUGGAGUCAAACAAGACAGGAUGCUCUCAAUUCUGGAUGGCCAGUUGUUUUCCCAAUGAAGGCCCUUGGAUACUAUGCCCUGGUUACUGGGAGAGUACACGUUUUCUGAGGUAGUGGCAAGCUAGCGAACUCUGGCAGGUCAACAGGUCAGAGAAGCUCUCAAUUGUAAAGACACAUGCAGACAGCAAUUAAAGAGACUGACUGCGUGCAUGUGUGAACCUCUAUAAUUAUGUAGUAUCUUCCGUUUGUAUAAAAAUGUAUACAUAAUUGUGAUACCGUAGGUCAUCAAAGUAUCUCUACUAUUAGUAUUCUUUUGGUACGGUAUGAAGUUUACGAUUAAUUAACAGAAAUCAGCAACAUACGUGUAAUUCCCGGUAUAUAUAAAACACUAUAUUGUCA